AACUGGAGACGGGGAGCAAGAUAACAUGGGAGCAAGUUAGCCUGUAACACCUGCAGACGAAUCAGUGAAAGAAUACAUCUAAAUAAAGAAAUCAAAACGGCAACACGGUGACGGAUAUCUGAAAAUCAGAGCAGAGCUUUAACUCACAAACACCUGGUGACAGAGGUGUCUUGCCAGGCUCGGAAGUUGUGAGUUUGCUGCAGUGCUUCGGCGAGCCGCCAGGAGGCGGCGUGCUGACGUCAGAUUGGCUGAAGGAUCCAAACAGCCGAAAGUAGAAACAAUGGGAAGAUGGCGGCUGGCGCGUAAUGACUCGCGGAACUACGAAAGGCUUCAUUUUUCAGCCGACUGACGACUCAGCCGAAUCGUUGCACAAACGGCUCGUAGGCGGGAUGUCGGGGCGUGGUCGUGGCCGGCGCGGUGCAGAGGGCGCAAGCGUCACCAGAGGCGAACCGCUCCUGCCGUCUGUCCAGCAGCCCAGUCCUCUGUUUCCCGCAAUGGAGCACAAGCCCCUCCCACUGACGUGCGGCGAAGAGGCAGAGUACCUGUUGGCCCUCAAGCAGGAGCUCAGAGGCGCCAUGGGCGCGCGACCAGGUUUCAUCCAGCCGCACGCGGGUCACAGGUCACAUGCAGAUGUGGAAAGAUAUUCAGACAAAUACCACAACUCCAGCGAGCAAACGGACGCGCUGACCAACUGGAUCACAGACUGGAAGAGGUUCCCAAAAGAAAUACAACUUUGUGUUAGAAGAUCACUAAAAACAGGUGUGUCUGGAGCGGCGCAGCGAUCCAAGAGAGGUCGGGCUGAUGAGCAGAAGGCAAGCGUGAAAGAAAAACAAGUCCUCCUCAAACUGGAGGUGAGCCAACCACAAAUACGCCAACAUCAAGUCCACUUCACCGCCGUCAACACCCCUCAUUCUGCCUUCAAUACACGCUGCCACCCUCAAUGCUGCCCUCCACUCUCUUCACCACCUUCAACACGUUUCGCUCGCUACCUUCGGUUGCGCUGUAGACACGUGGCUGCUGUCCGUCACUUCUCUUUUAAUCAUCUGCCGCAUGUGGUCGUCACGGAGACGCUGGCAAACGAGGAACAGCGGGGCUCCGAGGAGGAGAAGGAGGACAAUCACGAGGUGGACGAGGAGUACGAAGAAGAGCUGGAGGAGGACACGGAUUACAUCAUGUCCUACUUUGACAACGGCGAAGAUUUUGGCACUGAAAGCGACGACGACAUGGACGAAGCCGUUUACUGAAACCUUCAGGCCAUUGCUGUGGCAACACUCAGACGAAAUGACCACUUUGCGAGCUCAUGGUGCUCAUUUUUAACGUUGGAGGGUGUUACCUUGGUGAAAGGCCACCACGUGGUCAUGAGGGCAGCUGAUAGCAUGCAGGUCCAGGGCGGGGUCGCCGGCCCGCUCCAGGAAGUGGCUUACCUGUCAGGAGCGGGCGGGGGAGUGGUCGUAAGAGGUCAUUUCAACACAACAUAUGCACCACUUUCAUCGCGGCUCCUUACAGAUAAAGAGACAGGGCACACGGGGCUUCCAGAGCCAGCAUCGUGCGCGCACACACGCGCAGCUUACCUGUUCCCUGCAGGUGGCGCUGUGACUAAAGAGUGCCAGCUCUCGGAUGGGCUGCUUGGCCUCUGUGAAGGAUAUGCUCAUCAAAACCAGCACAUCCAAAGCCAACUUGCGGCAGAAUCCAGAAAGCUCCUCCUCUAGCUCCGCCCUCUGCAGGAACACCUGACACACACACGCACAUGCAAGCUAACACUCUCACACACACACUCACAAUGACCCACGAAGACAUAUCAUGGGAAAGCCACUUUUUUUGCUUUUAUAUUCAUUUUAUUGUGCACUUGGUGUCUCCAAGAUUGUAGAAAAGGGUAAUCUAUCCCUCCAGGUGUUGCAGAGAUACUUUUAUGAUCUGUUUGGGGGCUAUUUUUACUCCGUUCAUUUUUCUCCAUUAUCCAUUACGUAUUUUUAUCUGUUACGUCACAUUUGUUGGGGCGGAACUACCAAACAAGAUGGGUGCGGCCAAACGGUUUCGCAAAUCCGCCAUCUAUAUUACUGUGAGAGACCUUUGUAGUCCAAACAACUCAAGGAUGGAGAAGUGGAGGGAUCAAAAUGUUUCAUUGUUGGAUGCAUCACACAACUUAUUGCCCUGUCCCCCGGCAUCAGAACAUCAUAGAAGUGCCUGGUCAAAUGUUAUUUUUCAAGCUUGGUUCCCACAUCUGUGGGCAGAGUCCUGAUAGUUCAAGGACGAUGUUUCAGAAAAUAUUUGUCUGUAUAGAGAAGGAUUUGCCAACUUUGUUUCGUUGAUGGUUCAGUUCCUUCAAUCUAUGGAAACGACGAACAAAGUAAAGCGGUAAACUUGAGAUGACAUAAAAAUAAACUGUAUUUCACUUUAAUAAUAUUGCGUUUCUAUGCACUUGUUUUCAUAGCAUUAGCCUUUCUGCUGAUUUUAGAGCUGUGCGCUCUAUAUUUUCACUUCUUGUGAGUGUAUUUUGAGUAGUUGUAUCAGAUGAAUUGCAUUGAAGGUGCUGUUUUAUUCUUAAGAACACAAUGUGUUAAAUGCAUUCUUUAACUUCUCACUAACGCUAGCAUUAGCUUACUUCGUAGCUUGACUGCAGUGCUUGUUUACAAGACGUGUUCAUAAAUAUUGUGAGGGGAUUUAUUUAGUUACGUGUUAUGUAUGUAUUAACAAGUCUUCUGUCAUUGCCAUCUUUUAAUCAAUCAAAAAGUUUGCGGUGCAAGUAAACGCCACCUCAGCUAAAAAAAACUACAAAUAUGUCCGACCAGAGGGGGCCUGGAAGGAGUGGGGUGUAUCUCAUUUGCAUUUGAAGCGACCGCAACAAAACACCAUGCGCUGUUCCACUUUACGUAGACCACAACUGAAUGCGUAAAAUGGAAGAAUUUAUACAUAAUAAAUUGAUAGUGAUAUGUAAGCUUUAACACAAUUUAUAUAGUGAUAUGUACCGUUUUUUUCCAUGUAUAAUGCGCCCCCAUGUAUAAUACGCACCCUAAAAAUGGCAUA